rnacentral:tRNA from 1 species
GCCUGGGUGGCUCAGUCGGUUGGGCAUCCGACUUCAGCUCGGGUCAUGAUCUCGCAGUCUGUGAGUGCGAGCCCCACAUCGGGCU